GCAGUCAAGCGAGGCUGGGGGGCACUCCCAAGUCGAGCGGCUNAACGGGUGAGUAACGCGUGGAUGACCUGCCCUUUAGUGGGGAACAACCAGGGGNAAACUCUGGCUAAUACCGCAUAAGACCGAAAGGUGAAAGGGGGCCGCAAGGCUCUCGCUGAAGGAGGGGUCCGCGUCCGAUUAGCUAGUUGGUAGGGUAAUGGCCUACCAAGGCGACGAUCGGUAGCCGGCCUGAGAGGGUGAUCGGCCACACUGGAACUGAGACACGGUCCAGACUCCUACGGGAGGCAGCAGUGGGGAAUUUUGCGCAAUGGGCAAACGCCUGACGCAGCAACGCCGCGUGGAGGAUGAAGGUCUUUGGAUUGUAAACUCCUGUCAGCGGGGNAAAAAGGGACCUGGGCUAAUACCCUAGGGACUUGAUUGUACCCGCAGAGGAAGCCCCGGCUAACUCUGUGCCAGCAGCCGCGGUAUUACAGAGGGGGCAAGCGUUAUUCGGAAUUAUUGGGGCGUAAAGGGCGCGUANGCGGCUUUUGCAGUGGCGGGUUGAAAUCCCUCGGCUUAACCGAGAACUGCCUGCCANACUGUGANGCUUGANACCNGGGA
rnacentral:rRNA from 1 species